UGCCCAUCUAAAUGAUAGAGACACAAAAUACACCAAAAAUUUAGACCAGCAAUCAAUUUAGAUUUUUUUGUUUAAUUUAAUCCAUCAAAUAGCCAACACUUGAGAUCAAUAUAAUUUCAUAUAACCCAUAUCACUCAACAAUUUGAAAUGAAAUAUUUUUCAUUUACUUUCUGAUGGAUCAUGAAUUUGACCAAUUUAAUGAGAUUUUGACCCUUACUAUUGACCUAUUAGAAUGUUACAAAAGUGACCAUUCACUUUUACUUUAAUAAUGAUGGCCCUAAGAUCAUGAUGAAGUCAACAAAAAAAAAGUUCUAGUUUAUUAUUAUAACAAAUACACUUCACGAUCAAUCAAUGUAGAUUUUCACAUUGAAAGUUUAUUACAUUUUCAUAAUAAUCUACUCAGCCUGAGAACAGGGAAAGUUCAAUAUAUAAUGGCAAGAGUUUGUUUUUCAUGGGACAUGUAAAAAGAAAGUAAAGUUUCCAAUAGUUUGAUCAGAAAAAAAAAGUAAAGAAAAAGAUUUGAAUUUCAAUUCUUUGAGAGAUUGAAUUUUCAUCUAACAUUAUAAGAGUUAAGUAAAUACAUGAAUAUAUGAAACUACCCUAAGGGUGAAAUGUCAUCAAUUUCAUCAACUAUACUCUUGAGAUGUGAACCAAAUGAUUUGACUCAAUCUCCUAAACCUGAACAUGGAAGAAACAAAAAAAAACAGAAAACGUAACAUAUAAAAUCCUGAUAACAUGAAAUUACAUUGGAAUCAGAUGAAUUCAAGAUUGAUGCAUUUUCUUUGGUUACAUAAUAAUGAUGAUAAAAAAACCUCUUGUUCAAUAUUAUAUAUUCAAGGAAAAUCGGCCAGGGAGUUAUAUCACUUUCUCUAUCAGAUGGAGUGAGAAUGGAGGAAAAAGUUCCAAUGGUUCAACUUUCAAAUCUCAUUCAAAGCCAUGGAAUCAUUUUUUUUUGUCUUUCUUUUCCAAAUGAAAUGAAAUUUAACUACACUCAGAAUCAUGAACAAUUUUCUAUCAUCAUCAUCAUCAUCAUGCUCUCAACAUGGAAGGAAGAAGAAGAUACAAUUAUUUUGGUGGAAAUUGAAUCACUUUGGAGAAGACAAAAUAAAAGAGAACAACUUUUUAUGUGUAUUAUCAUUUUUGGAAGAAAAGAAAAACGUUUUUCGAAAAUGGAAAAGGAGGAGAGAGAAAAAAGUUCUAAUCGAACUAGAAAAAACUUUGUUUUUCCAUUUAAAUGUUUACGAGUUUUACCUUUCAAAGGUCGUACUGAAGAGGGAACACCAAGUUGUACACAAUCAGAAUCAUCGGGAGUUCCAAGAAUCGGUAAAUUUGUACAUUUGGGCAACAAAUUGCUGUUGAUUAUCGGUAUACUUCGAGCCAUCGAAUACUCUUUUCGACAUAUUGAACUUUCCAAUAUUUCGCAUUCAUCUCGACAAACCUGAGAAAAGACGAGAUACAAAUCGUAUAUCAAUCAUACGAAUUAAAAUUAAUGAUGAUAACAAGGGCAAAGAGAAAACAUAAACUACAAUAUAAUCAAAUCAAUAUCUUUGAUGAUGAUGAUUAAUGAUUUAUCGAUACAAUCAAAGUCACGAUUAGACUUGAAAAUGAAAUUGGUUUGGCCAAAAAAAAACGAGCGAGAAAAAAAUAUUGAUAACAGUAAAUAAACACAUAGAUAAAUCUGAUUCUAUUUCUAGGUGUGUUGAUCAAUCAUAUUUUUAUCAUUCUUGCUCCAGGGAAUUUACAAGAUUCAUCUAAUAUCCGGUAAAACCAGGGAAUUAUAUAUUAUUACCAUGAUAUAAUAUUUCCACUGAAUUCUGAAGAAACCAUUUUCACUCUCAACAACAACUCUGAACUUGCCGUUCAUUUCAUUCAAAGGUGUAUAUUAAUAUGAUUACUUUCAGCCAUCAUCAUGAUAAUAUAUCUUACAGGUAACUAAUAUAACUUUCUCUGUGUAAUAUAUUCACAUUAAAUCCACAGGUUUAGAAGGUAAAAUGCCCAUGAAAACCCAAAGAAAAUGUUCCGAAUGAAACAUCAGCAUCAAUUUCUCUGGUGAAAUCCUUUGGUAUUCAUUUAAUUCAUUCUAACUCAUAUUCUGUGGCCAUUGUUACUCAGGUUAUUUUGUAUUUACAAUAAGUUUCACUUUCUCUCUGUGAAUUUUUUUUUCUUGGUCUUUCUAUUCCUGUGGAUUAACUUGACUCAAUCCCAAUGAUAAACUUGAACAGUAACAAUUGGAUCUAAUUUAAUAGCUACAACAAUAAGGAAAACUUGAUAAUAUUGGUUCGAUAUUUUUGUUUUAAAAGUAACAAUAACAAUCUUUCUGAAAGUUUUGCUGAUUUAUUUUCAUUUCAAUGUCAUUAUUUUACCUUAGUAACCUUAGAUUAAGCUUGUCACUAUUGUGUCGAUGUAUUUUCAUCUGAUCAUCUUCAUGUUAUCUGAUUGUUUAAAAGCUUCCAACUAAUGGUUAACUGGAUUAACUUGAUUAUUUUACUUUCAAUGGACAUUAAACAUCAUCUCUUUCUGAGUUUCCAUUGAAAUGAUUGAGUAAAAAAGAAUGAUGAUGGACUUACCUUUCGAAUGACCAGUUGACCUGAAGGUUCUGUCCGACAGACUGGAAAAUUGAAGAAACAAACAGAUGAUAUUGCGAAUCUAUGACACUGAUGUGAAAUCUGAUGAGAUGUUGCGAUCA